rnacentral:misc_RNA from 1 species
ACGUAUCUCUGACGGGGUGCGGUGCGCCCUGCUCCGGCCCAAACGGCCGUGCAGCGGGCUCCCGUCCCUGUUCACACCUUACAAACCACUGUGAACCUCCACGGCGGAAGGAGGGCAACCUCCCGAGGCCGCAUACAAGCACCAGUACUAAAGAAUGUCGUGCGGACUCUGUUCGCCUAAACACAAAA